rnacentral:rRNA from 1 species
UACGUAGGGGGCAAGCGUUGUCCGGAUUUAUUGGGCGUAAAGAGCGUGUAGGCGGCUAGGUAGGUCCGUUGUGAAAACUCGAGGCUCAACCUCGAGACGCCGAUGGAAACCAUCUAGCUAGAGUCCGGAAGAGGAGAGUGGAAUUCCUGGUGUAGCGGUGAAAUGCGCAGAUAUCAGGAAGAACACCCGUGGCUAAGGCGGCUCUCUGGGACGGUACUGACGCUGAGACGCGAAAGCGUGGGGAGCGAACAGG